GACGAACGCUGGCGGCGUGCUUAACACAUGCAAGUCGAACGAUGACGCCCGAGCUUGCUGGGUCUGAUUAGUGGCGAACGGGUGAGUAACACGUGAGCAACCUGCCCUUCACUCUGGGAUAACUUCGGGAAAUUGGGGCUAAUACCGGAUAUGAGCUCCUGCCGCAUGGUGGGGGUUGGAAAGUUUUUCGGUGUAGGAUGGGCCCGCGGCCUAUCAGUUUGUUGGUUGGGUAGUGGCUUACCAAGGCUUUGACGGGUAGCCGGCCUGAGAGGGCGACCGGCCACACUGGGACUGAGACACGGCCCAGACUCCUACGGGAGGCAGCAGUGGGGAAUAUUGCACAAUGGGCGGAAGCCUGAUGCAGCGACGCCGCGUGAGGGAUGACGGCCUUCGGGUUGUAAACCUCUUUCGGCAGGGAAGAAGCGAAAGUGACGGUACCUGCAGAAGAAGCGCCGGCUAACUACGUG
rnacentral:rRNA from 1 species